rnacentral:rRNA from 1 species
GACGAACGCUGGCGGCGUGCUUUACACAUGCAUUUCGAGCGGAAAGGCCCCUUCGGGGGUACUCGAGCGGCGAACGGGUGAGUAACACGUGGGUAACCUGCCCUUGGCACCGGGAUAAGCCUGGGAAACUGGGUCUAAUACCGGAUAUGACGCGUGACCGCAUGGUCGGCGCGUGGAAAGGGUUUCUGGCCAAGGAUGGACCCGCGGCCUAUCAGCUAGUUGGUGGGGUAGUGGCCUACCAAGGCGACGACGGGUAGCCGGCCUGAGAGGGCGACCGGCCACACUGGGACUGAGACACGGCCCAGACCCCUACGGGAGGCAGCAGUGGGGAAUAUUGCACAAUGGGCGAAAGCCUGAUGCAGCAACGCCGCGUGAGGGAUGACGGCCUUCGGGUUGUAAACCUCUUUCGGCGCCGACGAAGCCUUCGGGUGACUGUAGGCGCAGAAGAAGCACCGGCCAACUACGUGCCAGCAGCCGCGGUAAUACGUAGGGUGCGAGCGUUGUCCGGAAUUAUUGGGCGUAAAGGGCUCGUAGGCGGCCUGUCGCGUCCGUCGUGAAAGCCCGGGGCUCAACCCCGGGUCUGCGGGUGGAAUACGGGCAGGCUANANUUCCGGCAGGGGANACUGGAAUUCCUGGUGUAACGGUGAAAAUGCCCAAAUAUCAGGAGGAACACCAGUGGGCGAAGGCGGGU